rnacentral:pre_miRNA from 1 species
AGCUUUUUGAAUCCACACAGAGAUUUCGUCAGACACCAACCGAUUAGGGCUGAUCAGACUUUUUAGAUAAGUGAAGUU